rnacentral:rRNA from 1 species
GUAGUCUGCAACCCGACUACAUGAAGCUGGAAUCGCUAGUAAUCGCGGAUCAGAAUGCCGCGGUGAAUACGUUCCCGGGUCUUGUACACACCGCCCGUCACACCAUGGGAGUCGGAAAUGCCCGAAGUCUGUGACCUAACCGUAAGGAAGGAGCAGCCGAAGGCAGGUCGGAUGACUGGGGUGAAGUCGUAACAAGGUAUC